rnacentral:rRNA from 1 species
AGUGAACGCUGGCGGUAGGCCUAACACAUGCAAGUCGAACGGCAGCACAGGAGAGCUUGCUCUCUGGGUGGCGAGUGACGGACGGGUGAGGAAUACAUCGGAAUCUACUUUUUCGUGGGGGAUAACGUAGGGAAACUUACGCUAAUACCGCAUACGACCUACGGGUGAAAGCAGGGGACCUUCGGGCCCUGCGUGUUUGUAUGCGCCGAUGUCGGAUUAGCAAGUUGGCGGGGUAAAGGCCCACCAAGGCGACGAUCCGUAGCUGGUCUGAGAGGAUGAUCAGCCACACUGGAACUGAGACACGGUCCAGACUCCUACGGGAGGCAGCAGUGGGGAAUAUUGGACAAUGGGCGCAAGCCUGAUCCAGCCAUACCGCGUGGGUGAAGAAGGCCUUCGGGUUGUAAAGCCCUUUUGUUGGGAAAGAAAUCCAGCUGGCUAAUACCCGGUUGGGAUGACUGUACCCAAAGAAUAAGCACCGGCUAACUUCGUGCCAGCCGCCGCCGUAA